GUUGGGGUUGUUGAAUAUAAUCAACCGGCGGCGCAAUCAGUUAGCGGGUAAGAACUCUCCUGGGAAGCAUUUCAGCCGAUCGAAGACGUCGUCGGAAAAUCGCUAAUGCUCAAACAGUGGUUUCUGGAAAGGCUGAUAAGUGUUUUGGAGGCACCCUGCAGAGCAAGCCUCACACGCAGAAGAUGUGAAUUCGACACCGCACCCCGCCUAUGAGCGGAAAAUAACAACAACACUUAACACAGACCCAGCUCCACAUGUCAGGCCUUCAUCAUGGGCUUGUUCCUCCCUCGUCCCCACGCCGCUACCCCCACAGCGGAGGCAGCCACCAGGGCCAGGACGCGGGGGAUGGACGAGGGGAACACGAGCACCAGGACACACAAAUCAUACGCCGCCACCAAACACUCAAUGGCCGUCUGGCUAAUUUGUGCUUGUUUUGUUGCAGUGCAUCUGCAGAAGGGGGCAGAUGGUGGAAUGGUGGGGAAGGACAACAGAGGGUGAGACAGAGAG